rnacentral:rRNA from 1 species
AUGAACGCUGGCGGCGUGCCUAAUACAUGCAAGUCGAGCGAACAGACGAGGAGCUUGCUCCUCUGACGUUAGCGGCGGACGGGUGAGUAACACGUGGAUAACCUACCUAUAAGACUGGGAUAACUUCGGGAAACCGGAGCUAAUACCGGAUAAUAUAUUGAACCGCAUGGUUCAAUAGUGAAAGACGGUUUUGCUGUCACUUAUAGUUGGAUCCGCGCCGCAUUAGCUAGUUGGUAAGGUAACGGCUUACCAAGGCAACGAUGCGUAGCCGACCUGAGAGGGUGAUCGGCCACACUGGAACUGAGACACGGUCCAGACUCCUACGGGAGGCAGCAGUAGGGAAUCUUCCGCAAUGGGCGAAAGCUUGACGGAGCAACGCCGCGUGAGUGAUGAAGGUCUUCGGAUCGUAAAACUCUGUUAUUAGGGAAGAACAAAUGUGUAAGUAACUAUGCACGUCUUGACGGUACCUAAUCAGAAAGCCACGGCUAACUACGUG